rnacentral:rRNA from 1 species
UCCGUAGGGUGAACCUGCGGAGGGAUCAUUACCGAGUUCUCGCAACUCCUAAACCCCCUGUGAACAUACCACAUGUUGCCUCGGCGGGGCGCGCCUCGUGUGCCCCCGCCGGCGGCCCCUUCAACUCUGUUUCCUACAAUUGAGCUCUGAAACUACGUAAACAGAAUACGUUAAAACUUUCAACAACGGAUCUCUUGGUUCUGGCAUCGAUGAAGAACGCAGCGAAAUGCGAUAAGUAAUGUGAAUUGCAGAAUUCAGUGAAUCAUCGAAUCUUUGAACGCACAUUGCGCCCGCUGGCAUUCCAGCGGGCAUGCCUGUUCGAGCGUCAUUUCGACCACUUAAGCCCUCGUUGCUUAGCGUUGGGAGCCUACCGCGGCUUGCGCGGUCGCUCCCCAAAGUCAGUGGCGGGGCCGGGUUCGUGCUCUAGGCGUAGUAGAUUUUCCAUCUCGCCUGUAGCCGGCCCGGUCCCCUGCCGUAAAACACCCCCCUUUUUAAAUGGUGACCUCGGAUCAGUAGAUGCGAGACC